UCCACGUUCUACGAAUUCAGUUGACUUCAACAGUCCUGCCACAGAGAAGUGGCCUUCGUAAAAGAAAAAAAAAAGAAUCCACACAGCUGACAUGUGGUGGGGAUUUAAACCCAGGGUUCAUCAGAGACUGAUUUUUCAGAAGAGAGAGAGAAGUCCCUUUAUGUCUGUAAGAGAACUUUUCAGUGAAAAAUGUCACAGAGAGAAAUCACCUGAAGAUUUCAAUAGCCAAACAAAAUCAUAGACUUUUACACACAUAUUUGACUAUCUAAACCCAUGUUGCUUUUUGUAGUGUUCGGAUUGGUAGAUAAAAAGAUGAAUGUGCGUUGCAAUUUGUUGGGACCUUUUGAUCUGUAGAAGUCACGAUCUUUACUGGCCUCAGCAGGAUGUACACAGGGUGCCCGAGAUAUUUGAUUCAAUAAGCGCUUGUCUUACUGUACUUGAGUACAGUGGUUCCCAACUUUUCAGGAAUAAAUGCCUUAAGCAGA